GAUGAAACGCUGGCGGCGUGCCUAACACAUGCAAGUUCGAGCGAUUCUCUUCGGAGAAGAGCGGCGGACGGGUGAGUAACGCGUGGGUAACCUGCCCUGUACACACGGAUAACAUACCGAAAGGUAUGCUAAUACGAGAUGAUAUAUUUUUAUUGCAUGAUAAAAAUAUCAAAGCUUUUGCGGUACAGGAUGGACCCGCGUCUGAUUAGCUAGUUGGUAAGGUAACGGCUUACCAAGGCGACGAUCAGUAGCCGACCUGAGAGGGUGAUCGGCCACACUGGAACUGAGACACGGUCCAGACUCCUACGGGAGGCAGCAGUGGGGAAUAUUGCACAAUGGGCGAAAGCCUGAUGCAGCAACGCCGCGUGAGCGAUGAAGGCCUUCGGGUCGUAAAGCUCUGUCCUCAAGGAAGAUAAUGACGGUACUUGAGGAGGAAGCCCCGGCUAACUACGUGCCAGCAGCCGCGGUAAUACGUAGGGGGCUAGCGUUAUCCGGAAUUACUGGGCGUAAAGGGUGCGUAGGCGGUCUUUCAAGCCAGAAGUGAAAGGCUACGGCUCAACCGUAGUAAGCUUUUGGAACUGUAGGACUUGAGUGCAGGAGAGGAGAGUGGAAUUCCUAGUGUAGCGGUGAAAUGCGUAGAUAUUAGGAGGAACACCAGUAGCGAAGGCGGCUCUCUGGACUGUAACUGACGCUGAGGCACGAAAGCGUGGAGAGCAAACAGGAUUAGAUACCCUGGUAGUCCACGCCGUAAACGAUGAGUACUAGGUGUCGGGGGUUACCCCCCUCGGUGCCGCAGCUAACGCAUUAAGUACUCCGCCUGGGAAGUACGCUCGCAAGAGUGAAACUCAAAGGAAUUGACGGGGACCCGCACAAGUAGCGGAGCAUGUGGUUUAAUUCGAAGCAACGCGAAGAACCUUACCUAAGCUUGACAUCCCAUUGACCUCUCCCUAAUCGGAGAUUUCCCUUCGGGGACAGUGGUGACAGGUGGUGCAUGGUUGUCGUCAGCUCGUGUCGUGAGAUGUUGGGUUAAGUCCCGCAACGAGCGCAACCCUUGCCUUUAGUUGCCAGCAUUAAGUUGGGCACUCUAGAGGGACUGCCGAGGAUAACUCGGAGGAAGGUGGGGAUGACGUCAAAUCACCAUGCCCCUUAUGCUUAGGGCUACACACGUGCUACAAUGGGUGGUACAGAGGGUUGCCAAACCGUGAGGUGGAGCUAAUCCCUUAAAGCCAUUCUCAGUUCGGAUUGUAGGCUGAAACUCGCCUACAUGAAGCUGGAGUUACUAGUAAUCGCAGAUCAGAAUGCUGCGGUGAAUGCGUUCCCGGGUCU
rnacentral:rRNA from 1 species